GCGGCCCGCGGCGAGGAAGGGAGGCGGGCACGGGAGCGGGCGCGGGAGCGGGCGCAGGCGGCCGGCCAUGAUCGCGUCGUGCCUGUGUUACCUGCUGCUGCCGGUCGCGCGCCUUUUCCGCGCCCUCUCAGAUGCUUUCUUCACAUGUCGAAAAAAUGCCCUCGUGGCGAAGAGCUCGUCCCCCCAGGUAGACGGCAACUUUGCCAUGGCCCCUCGGGGCCCCGACCAGGAGGAGUGUGAGGGCCUGCUGCAGCAGUGGCAAGAAGAAGGGUCAGGCCAGGCACUCUCAACUGUGAGCGAGGGUCUGUUUGUAGAUAAGGGAGUAGCCCAGAGCAGCCUGGCGCUCCUGAUGGAUAAUCCUGGAGAACAGGAUGCUGCUUCAGAAGACAAGUGGUCCAGCAGGCAGCUGAGUGACCUGUGGGCAGCAGAGAACCUGGAGGAGCCUUUCCCCGAGGUGCUAGGAGAGGAGCCACUGCCAGAGGUCGAGGGCCCAAUGUGGGCAGCGGUCCCGGUGCAGACCGGCCCCCAGUAUGCAGACUGUGCUGUCCUUCCAGUGGGUGCCCUGGCUGCAGAGCAGUGGGAAGAGGACCCCGCAGUGGUGGCCUGGAGCAUAGCACCGGAGCCUGUACCCCAGGAAGAGGCUCCCAUCUGGCCCUUUGAGGGCCUGGGGCAGUUGCAACCUCCCUCAUUGGAAAUCCCAUAUCAUGAAAUCUUGUGGCGAGAAUGGGAGGAUUUCUCCACUCAGCCAGAUGCUCAGGGCCUGGAGGCAGGGGAUGGCCCUCAGUUCCAGUUCACUCUGAUGUCCUAUAACAUCCUGGCUCAGGACCUGAUGCAGCAGAGCUCAGAGCUCUAUCUGCAUUGCCAUCCAGACAUCCUCAGUUGGAACUACCGCUUUGCGAAUCUCAUGCAGGAAUUCCAGCACUGGGAUCCCGAUAUCUUGUGUCUCCAGGAAGUCCAGGAAGAUCAUUACUGGGAGCAGCUGGAGCCCUCUCUGAGAAUGAUGGGCUUUUCCUGUUUCUACAAGAGGAGGACCGGGUAUAAGACAGAUGGCUGUGCUGUCUGCUACAAGACCACGCGAUUCCGUCUGCUCUGUGCCAGCCCUGUGGAGUACUUUCGGCCUGGCUUGGAGCUCCUCAAUCGAGACAAUGUGGGCUUAGUGUUGCUGCUGCAGCCGCUAGUCCCAGAACGCCUGGGGCAAGUCUCAGUGGCCCCCUUAUGUGUGGCAAAUACUCACGUCCUGUACAACCCACGUCGGGGCGAUGUCAAGCUAGCCCAGAUGGCCAUUUUCUUGGCUGAAGUGGACAAGGUGGCCAGGUUGUCAGAUGGCAGCCACUGUCCCAUCAUCUUGUGUGGGGACCUGAAUUCUGUCCCUGAUUCACCUCUUUACAACUUCAUCAGGGAUGGAGAACUCCAGUACCAUGGGAUGCCGGCCUGGAAGGUAUCUGGACAGGAAGACUUCUCCCAUCAGCUUUAUCAGAGGAAGCUGCAGGCCCCACUAUGGCCCAGCUCCCUGGGCAUCACUGAUUGCUGUCAGUAUGUCACCUCCUGUCACCGCAAGAGAUCAGAGAGACGUAAGUAUAGCCGAGACUUCCUGCUACGUUUCCGCUUCUGCAGCAUUGCCUGUCAGCGACCUGUAGGACUGGUUGUUAUGGAAGGAGUGACAGAUACUAAGCCAGAGCGACCUGCUGGCUGGGCCGAGUCUUUUGUUGAGGAAGACAUACCUGAGCCUGAGCCUGACUUCCCCAGGACUGUAGGCACCAUCCAGCACUGCCUCCACCUGACCUCGGUAUAUACUCAUUUCCUGCCCCAGCAUGGCCGCCCAGAGGUCACCACAAUGCCCUUGGGUCUUGGAAUGACAGUAGAUUACAUCUUCUUCUCAGCUGAGUCCUGCGAGAAUGGGAACAGAACUGAUCGCAGGCUUUGUCGGGAUGGAACUCUCAAGCUCCUGGGCCGGCUCUCCCUCCUCUCUGAAGAGACUCUCUGGGCUGCCAAUGGCUUACCCAACCCCUUCUGCUCUUCAGACCACCUCUGCCUACUGGCCAGCUUCGAGAUGGAAGUCACCGCCCCAUGAUGGUCUCCCAGGGGAAGAGAGCUUCUCUUCCAGAAGAGCCACCUGGAUCAGAGACUCUGGAAAUAUCCCAUGCUUCUGGAAACUUAGAUCCAAGAAACUUACAUCCCCUCCCCUCCCCUCCUUGUUCCCUUUCUCCCAUGGCUAGAUUUCCUCCAGGCCUGUCCACAUUCUCUGCCUGUGGUCCCUGCCCCACCCCAGCCUCUUCCUAAACCUGUGCCGCAUACUGGGUGGCCCUGGGAGAGGCAGAAGGGGGGGGGUUCCCCCUUCCUUCUAUGUAUCCGUCGCUCCCUCUUGAUUUUUAAUUACCAGGUUGUGGGAGCUAUUGAUCUCAUUCGUUAUUUGUUUUCAGGCCGUUUCUUGGUACGGUGCCUUCUGACCUGACCUCCCUGCCUGAGACCCCUGGGCCCAGCCCUCUUGCCAGACACACCCACGUGAGAUGUGUGUUGUGUGUGCAUCCUCUCGGGGUGGGACUGCUCCGCGCAGCCAUGCCUGUCUCUGACUAGCCCACUUUCCACACUGGGGCUGUCAGCCUAGGGGCAGGUGGAGGGUGUGACCCGGUAGCUGUGUGCUGCCAGGCACGUGGGCACCUGGCUGCCAGCGGCAGGAGCGUGGGCCCGUCUCUCCUUUUAUCGUCUGUGUUUCAUUCGGUGUCCAUCCUGCCAACCAGGGCAUCCUCAUCGUCCGGGCUCUGGUAACAAGUGCGCCCCGUGAGCUGGAGCAGCGGAUUCAGGGAUGCCCUCGACCCAGAGCUCCCCACAGGCCUGGCAAGCUUCCUCUAGGGCUCAUCCCCUUCCCCAGGCUGCCCUGUGGGAGGCCAGAGUUUGAACCCCUGUGUGGGGUCCGUGGGCAGGGGUAGUGGAUUGAGGUGCCAAACUCUUUAAGCAUGAGGAGGAAAAACUGUCAGCAAAAACUCCUAUCUCACUGGAGGACUGAGGCGAGGGUGGGAGUCCCAGCGGGGAGAGAGCUGGCAGGUUCUGCAGCUGCCUCAGCUGGGACGCAAGACCUCAGGGACUUGUUCCCUUCCCUCUGCACAGCUAAGCUGCAUUUCUCUGUUCCUCUCCUCCCACUGCUCUUUACUCUUUGCUGCCUCCCCCAUCCCCUUCCUUUUUUCCCCUGGAAGAGCCUGGUAUUUAGCUCAGGCCAGACCUUCUCAGCAGAAAGGUGACCCUGGGCAAAACUGGCCCAAGAACCGGAGGUGGCAGUGCUCCACUUCUGGCAAGGCCUCGGCGGCUCAUGGCCUCUGCUUUCCCUCUCCUGGUGCAGAAGCACCCUGGCCCCUUCAGGGGGUGCUCCCUUGCCCACAUGAGUCACCUGCAUGCCUGAAUCCUGCACUGCUGGGUGUAGCUGCUGGCCCUGCAGACUUGACUUGCUGUUGGCCCACUUGGCCUCCAGGAUGGGACUGAAGGAUAUAGCUGAGAGGCUGGAGUUCAGGACAGUUAGCUAGAGGUUAAUGUUUUCUCAUUUUUUUGAGAGCCAAAGACCCAGCUUGAAUAAUUGUGCUGCGUUCAUGGUUAUAAGCUUUCCAUGCCUGGGUUCUGGGGAAUUUAUCUAUUCAUGUAUAUUUUUAAACAUUGUUUCCUGGGUACUGGGCAUGUGCCUGUCUGAGCCCCAGGCCUAUCUGUCCACACUCCACCAUCCACUCUGUUUGCCUCUCCCUGGGCAUCUCCUGAGAUGGUCUCAAGAAAGUGCCCUGUUGGUUUGUAGGACUAGGGCCCAUCACUGUUUUUUUUUCUGCCAGGAAAUGUAGUUUAAAAAUGGCUAAAGAUGGCAGAGGGCAGGAGCUUGAUAGAUGAUCUGUUCCUUGUUUUCUUAUUUGUUUCCGUCUUGGAAAUGAAACGGGGUUUUAAAUGGUCAUUUGAACUCUCUUUUCCAAAUAAAGGUUUACCUUUCCCCCCUACUGUUGGUUAUUUUAUUAGGAUCCUGAAAGGCAUGGGGGAGGGAAGGACUGGGGAAUGAGGUGGGCAGAGAGGAAGAGACUGAUCCUGGGAUGGGGCCUCAAACCUGAGAUCUAGACCAGAGAAAAGGGUUAUCAUCUCCCUCUGCUAAUUGAGCAGAUGCCCACUGCUCUGAGGCCUGGGAGCAAGGGCUUGAGCGCAGCCUCCUGCCUGGACUUUCGUGGGGUGCAGCUCUCUUCUCCAUCCUCGCCAAGCUAGAGAAUACUGCUUUCAGCUGCUCUCAUUCCAUCUGCUGCCCCUGUACCUCCCGUACCUCCGCCUAGUCCAAGCAGAGGAGGAUCUGUGGCGAAAGAAGGAUGAGAAGUGUUUUCCUGGUCAAAGCUAUGGCAGCUGCAUGAGGCAUGAUGCAUGUGGCAAAUGCCUCUUGCCACGCUUCUAUUUUUGAUCAUCUCUUCUGUGUUCAGGAGCCAGGGCUGAGCUGUGAGCCACCUGUUGCUGGCAAGGUUUCUCAUCUUUCCCGGGCCUCACUGUGCUGGGACUUCAUCUUCCUCUGGCCUUCCUGUGCAGCAGGUCCACCAGCUCCUGUGCCCGUGGGAAGAAGCCCUGAGACAGUCAGUUCCUGUGCACAUAAUACCAGAGGCCUCACACAGCUGCGGAGAGGAGUGGAGUCUCCACACUUAACAUUCUUGGAGGUUUUCUCUUUCCCAUGACCAGGUCCUUUCUGGCUGGGGGUUGGAGGGAGUACACAUUCCCAUGUGGGCUGCUGAGAGCGCUGUCCCUCAGCCCACCUAAGGUGGCCCAUCUCCAACCACCUGCCAGGCCUCAGCGGGCCCCUCACCCCCUUGGCGAACACUACAAGGGUUACCAGGCAGCCUCCAUGUGGCCCAGUCGGCUUGGUCUCUCGUAUGACCAGCACUUCCUAUCACCACUGCCCUCCACAGUCAUGGUCAAGAUGUCAGAUCCUGGCAGAUGUGGGUGCAGAGCUUCAGUCUCUUCAUGUCCAGGGCUCUGAGAAGUGCCACCUGCAUUUAAAGGUCCAACCCACUUUAGUCAUGUGCCUAAACUAGGCAGGCACAUGCUGUGAGCUUGAAAGAAAGGAAGAAGGAAAUGCGGUAAUCCCCCCCAGCAAGCUGGGUUCUGGUCCUCUUGGGAGUCCGUAAUUGGCACUUACCUCUGCAUCAAUUCUAAGAAGUGGCCAAGCAGUGUCCACGGUGAGCCUGGUUGACCCAUACAGACUCACCGCAGCACUUAACCCAGCCCUCCUUUCACGAGAGCACUCCAGGGGCCUACUGUGUAUGAGCCCAUCUCAUUCAAGUCCACCCACAAGGCCCUUUACUUGGUACUUUAGCUGGACUUGAAUGUGUAAAUUUCAACACUGCCUUUGUGUAAAGGUGUAUAAUCCAAGUUAUUCACAAACUCUGGUUUAUUGAAAGGCUCUUCUUUGUUAUCGUUUAAGCUGGAUUUAA